AGGAUCUAAGCUUCCAAUGAAAACAUCAAGGAACAUAUUCGAUUCAAAAUAAACUAGGUUUCAUGAAGCUGGUCCACCCAAAAAAAAAAUUCCUAACCACCAUUAUAAAGAACCAUAAAGGCGAGAAUUAAAUAAACGCACAGAUACGAAGAAAAUCCAAAAAAUGAGGUAGAUCGAGAGCGAGAGAAAUACCAGAGACAAACUCACUGGUGGUGGCAUUGGUGCUGAGCUCGGAGCUCCGAUCACGAUCACGAUCGUCGACCGGUUGCAGAUGGCCGGAGAUGGCUUUCACAUGGCGUUGAGCAGCAAAGGCAUCCAUGGUGUUCCUUUCUUCCCUGUUAUGCCUCGCCCA
rnacentral:lncRNA from 1 species